UUUUAUUAAAGGACACGGAGGCUCCUAUUAUGCUAGUUCAAAGCUGUGUGAUCACCGACGUGGAAAAAUGGUAAACCGGACGGAAAUAAAAUUCACGGAAUGUAGAUUCUAUCGACCAAUCGGCAGCUCGGAGGAGAUCUUCCAAUUUACAGCCUAAUGAAAACGCUUUUGAUGCCAUUGCACCCCUCACUGAGUGUGCUCCAUAUGUGGAAGUAUCAAUGCCUGCCGACGUCAUGAUCCAUUUAACCCAGCGAGAUAGGGUGACUGUAGAAACCGGACGAUGCGGUUGUCGAAUGGCCAGGAAUAGGUCCGCCCAUUGAGGGUCUCGGACCGCAGCCGUCCUUGCUUCAUACUCCUUAAGGCAGGAUACUGGGCAUAAGUUACUGUUGUGUGGAAAAGCGGGGUAAAAAACCUUCGUGAUGGACGUUUUCGUACGCCUCGAUAUAUCAAAGGCCACCCCUUCCGGUGUAUAUGAGCAUGCCUGAAUGUCCAAUGCUCGUACAUCUGAGACCCGCUUACAGGAGAUGAGGCAGAACAAAGUGGCCAAUUUCGCGGUGAGUUGUUUGAUCGACAAAUCUCCGUUCUGCGGCCAACUUUCAAAAAGUCGGAGAACGAGGUUCACAUCCCAUAACUCGGAAUACCGAGGUCGUGGUGGUCGUGCAAAUCUUAUGCCUCGUAGGAGUCGACACACCAUCGGGUGUUUCCCUGUUUGAAUUCCAUUCCAACCUACAUGGCCUGCCGAGAUAGCUGAUCUAUAGAGAUUAAUUGUACGAUAUGCCAGGCCGUGGUCGAAAAGUGAAGUAAGGAAACCCAGGACGUGACUCACAGUUGCAGAUAUGGGAUCCACGUGUUGUUCCACGCACCAACCAUACCAUGCGUUCCAGGCAUGUAAAUAUGAUUUCCUUGUGCCAGGGGCCCAAGCUCCUGCCAGGAGGUCCAGAGUCGUUUGUGGAACAUUUCGGGUGUCCUCGAGUCCCCUGAAAGGAGCCAUGCCAAAAGCUUGAGAUGUCCCUGUAGUAUGAGAGGGUGCGGAUUGCCAUAGGGAUCCAAGAGGAUGUUGUCGUGUACUGGCAGUAACCUCGGUAGAUCUAUGGACAGUUCCAGGAGUGUAGGGAACCAGGGUUGAGACGUCCAGAAUGGAGAUACGAGGAUUAGGGAUGUCCGGUGUCGUCUGAGGUGCAGCAAGGUCCGAGCGAUGAGAGAAAAGGGGGGAAAAGCGUAAUGCCUGGUGUGCGGUCACGGUUGUCGGAAAGCGUCUGCCGCCAGAGCCUCCGGAUCUGGCCUCCAGCUGAAAAACUUCGGCAACUGCGUGUUCAGCCGUAACACGAACAGUUCGAUGUCCAGCGGCCCCCACAGUGAGUGUAAAUGGCUGAAAACGGCCGGGUUCAGCCGCCAGUCGCUGGCAUCCCGUAGAUGUCUGGAGUUCCAAUCCGCUACUACAUUGCUCAUCCCCGGGAUGUGUUCCGCUUGCACUGAUAUGUUGCGGUCCAGGCAGAACUGCCAGAAAUCCUUCGCCAAUUCCGCAAGUAUUGCUGACCUCGUGCCCCCGAGGUGAUUGAUAUAUCGAACUGCGGACACGUUGU